rnacentral:tRNA from 1 species
GGAGAGGUGGCUGAGCUGGCUGAAGGCAACGGUUUGCUAAACCGUCGUAGCGUAUAAAGCGCUACCGAGGGUUCGAAUCCCUCCCUCUCCGCCA